AUGUGUGGGACAAUCGGAUGUAAACAAAACGUCGCUUCAGACUUGAAAAGGAUUAGUCGAAAGAUCUGUAACGCUUUUAAGGUUCGAAGCUGUGUAAGAACUACAUGAACACCAUCAAACCACACGGAAGGUGAUAUGUGGCAAGUUAAUUAUCAAAACUACAGUGACAGAAAAAGGGACCCCGCUUCAUUCUGUGAUGUUUAUGGAAAGCUAAUUCAAUUAACUAUGCAAACAUACCAUUUAACAUGUAUUUUUGCAUAAGCAAAACAAAGCGUGUGUAUUGAUAUGUGUGUAUAUUUAUGGGUUUUGUAUCUAUGUUAUUACUAAAAUUGAUUAGAUGAAUAGAAAAUCUGAUUAUGUGUGUUAAUAAAACAGGUGUUUCAUAACAAAUAACAAUUUAAAUCCAAUGAAGCUUGUUUGUGGUCUAUUCCAAUAUCAUCUCCAUAUGAACAUCUUCGAAGCCAAUAAUGCUUGUUUGUGGUCUAUUCCAAUAUUAUCUCCAUAUGAAUAUCUUCAGUAUAUGAAAAUAAACACGUCAUUAAUAAUAACAUUACUUUAUAACUAGCAUGCACAUGUAGCAAUAUAAAUUAAAGCACCAAGUACAUAAAGAAGUACAUUAGUAUUCACAAAGAAAUUGUAAUCAGUCAAUUUAUGAAUUUGCAAAUCUUGCUAUUCAAACAUAUGAAUGCUCCAAUUAAGUCAUAACAAAUGAUCAUCGCCAAAACGUCUUGACUUGUGGGGGUUAUUAUACCAACAAACAUAUUGAAUUGCAUCAAUACUUCAUUUACUCAAAUUCAAAUGAAAUCUGAAUAACUGAGAAUAGUUUGAGAUGUUUAAUGAAAAUACUCAUUCGCCCCGGUCACGAAAGGGCGCUGCAAGAUCUUGUUUCCACUGCACCAAGUAAUUAACAUUAAAUCAUAUAAUGUUGUUCAAUUUGUUGAAAAGUCAAAUUUGUAUGUAAUGUUUACUUUGAUUGUUUUCUUUCCCUGCAAUACUUGCACCAUCUGGUAAUAAAACAGUCAUUUAAACUUUGGAACAUUUACUAUACAUGUUUGUAUAUGACAACUUUUCAUUGAUCAAGAUAUCAGUACGUCUCUUGAA